CUAGAUAGUUAAACCCCCUCAGUUAAAACCAUACUUGACCAAAUCUACCAUUCGUUUCUUUUUCUUUUACUCUUUCAGGCAAAGGAUCGCACGCAAUCAGAAAAGCAGAGACGACUCUCUCUGCUUUGUGUUCCUCUUCAAAAAAGAAAGAAAGAGCAGAGACGACCAUAAAAAAAAAAGAAUGCAGCGGCCUUCCGGAGAUCCUCAAGAAACUCGUCAUCAUUUUUGCGGUGCCCCCAAGGAGCUGGGCCUCUUCUUUGGCCAAAAAGAAAUAGGAGAUGAUGGCAUUGACUUGUGCACCUCUAGGCAG
rnacentral:lncRNA from 1 species